GAUGAAGGUUGGAAAGCAGUACAUCGCAACAGAUACUGGCAAACCGGAGGAGACAGGUUGGGCGGGCUGGAGGGCCAUGUGAUGGACGUGUUGAGCCGGACUGGCCGAGGCUACGCGCCGGUCGAUUUUUUCGCUGAUGACGCCGAGCAGGCAAGCUCAAGCGAAGAGGAGGCCGCUGCCGCCCAUGUGCCUCUCCCGACAGCCCCACCCCAAGUGUCCGUGGGCACACAGCCGGGGACGAGCGGCACUGCACGUAAGGCA